rnacentral:rRNA from 1 species
AUGGAUAAAAAGAUCGAAGUGCGCACGGAGUCAAAGGAAGGUAUGCUUCGCAGUAUCAGUUGUUCUUGCCGCAAAUUGGAAUGCGCAGGCACACCAUGUUCCCACAUAUUUUACAUAUUGGGAAUUUUACAAGAAGAAACACUGCCCAGGUGUUGUGUUCCCACUAGGUGGACAAUGAGUGCAAAAUGUGCAUUCGCACCAACCAGAAAGAGCGAGAUGUAUGCAUACUCUGCAGCCCUACAAAGGUACCGUAAGCUAAGGAAUUUUAGUCACGCAACAUGUUUCAAGGCAUGCCACUCCGAUGAGGCGUUUCAACAUCUAAAAAGGGUUUUUUGGAAGGACAAGAUGUUUGCAAGGGAUCAACAAGUGAACAAGCUGAUAGCAAGGGAUCAACUAAUGCUCAGGGUAACAGCAUUAGGUUUGGCCCGUUGA